ensembl:snRNA U6 U6 spliceosomal RNA
GUCCUUGCUUUGUCAGCACACAUAAAAAAUAAAUGGAAUGACAGAGAUUACCAUGGCCCCUGCAUAAAGGUGACACCCAAAUUCAUGACGAGUUUCAGAUUCAA